rnacentral:rRNA from 1 species
UACGUAGGGGGCUAGCGUUGUCCGGAAUCAUUGGGCGUAAAGAGCGUGUAGGCGGCCCGGUAAGUCCGCUGUGAAAGUCGGGGGCUCAACCUUUGAAUGCCGAUGGAUACUGCAGGGCUAGAGUCCGGAAGAGGCGAGUGGAAUUCCUGGUGUAGCGGUGGAAUGCGCAGAUAUCAGGAGGAACACCAAUAGCGAAGGCAGCUCGCUGGGACGGUACUGACGCUAAGGUGCGAAAGCGUGGGGAGCGAACAGG